rnacentral:snRNA from 1 species
GUGCUCGCUUUGUCAGCACAUAUACUAAAAUUGGAAUGAUAGAGAAAGUUAGCAUGGCCUCUGCACAGGAUGACAUGCAAAUUCAGAAGUGUUCCAUAUUUUU